CGGGCGUCGGCCUGUGGG
rnacentral:siRNA from 1 species